AACGAACGCUGGCGGCAUGCCUAAUACAUGCAAGUCGAACGAGAUCUUCGGAUCUAGUGGCGCACGGGUGCGUAACGCGUGGGAAUCUGCCCUUGGGUUCGGAAUAACUUCGGGAAACUGAAGCUAAUACCGGAUGGUGACGUAAGUCCAAAGAUUUAUCGCCCAAGGAUGAGCCCGCGUAGGAUUAGCUAGUUGGUAAGGUAAAGGCUUACCAAGGCGACGAUCCUUAGCUGGUCUGAGAGGAUGAUCAGCCACACUGGGACUGAGACCCGGCCCAGACUCCUACGGGAGGCAGCAGUAGGGAAUAUUGGACAAUGGGGGCAACCCUGAUCCAGCAAUGCCGCGUGAGUGAUGAAGGCCUUAGGGUUGUAAAGCUCUUUUACCCGGGAUGAUAAUGACAGUACCGGGAGAAUAAGCCCCGGCUAACUCCGUGCCAGCAGCCGCGGUAA
rnacentral:rRNA from 1 species